rnacentral:rRNA from 1 species
GUUUGAUCCUGGCUCAGAAUGAACGCUAGCUACAGGCUUAACACAUGCAAGUCGAGGGGCAGCAUCAUCAAAGCUUGCUUUGAUGGAUGGCGACCGGCGCACGGGUGAGUAACACGUAUCCAACCUGCCGACAACACUGGGAUAGCCUUUCGAAAGAAAGAUUAAUACCGGAUGGCAUAGUUUUCCCGCAUGGGAUAAUUAUUAAAGAAUUUCGGUUGUCGAUGGGGAUGCGUUCCAUUAGGCAGUUGGCGGGGUAACGGCCCACCAAACCUACGAUGGAUAGGGGUUCUGAGAGGAAGGUCCCCCACAUUGGAACUGAGACACGGUCCAAACUCCUACGGGAGGCAGCAGUGAGGAAUAUUGGUCAAUGGACGAGAGUCUGAACCAGCCAAGUAGCGUGAAGGAUGACUGCCCUAUGGGUUGUAAACUUCUUUUAUACGGGAAUAAAGUUAGCCACGUGUGGUUUUUUGUAUGUACCGUAUGAAUAAGGAUCGGCUAACUCCGUGCCAGCAGCCGCGGUAAUACGGAGGAUCCGAGCGUUAUCCGGAUUUAUUGGGUUUAAAGGGAGCGUAGGCGGGUUGUUAAGUCAGUUGUGAAAGUUUGCGGCUCAACCGUAAAAUUGCAGUUGAUACUG